rnacentral:rRNA from 1 species
AUGGGGAAGCACGGCGGUGUCCAUGCGUGUGACACGACACGAUGCAUGUCACGGUCCCCGGCCGGCGCGCGCGUUCGCAAAGUCACGAGCCGAGCACCACGAUCGACACAGCAACCGGCCUCCCCCUACUGCGCACACCACCACCACCACUACAGCAAAGAGACACAACCCCAACCUACGCCCACGAGCACGUCCUCGUAUGGCCCCGCACACGAAAGGGAAUGUGGCCGCCGCACAGCCCGCUGCUUCCCAUGGCUGUUUGUUCGAUGCACGGACCACGGUCACCAUGUGCCGUCGUCGGCCCCGGUGCGGCGGUGCCCCCUGCGCGCGCGCAUACUAUAUAUACGUCGCGCAUCAAUCCCACUGUGUUGA